CCUACGGGCGGCAGCAGUGAGGAAUAUUGGUCAAUGGACGAGAGUCUGAACCAGCCAAGUAGCGUGAAGGAUGACUGCCCUAUGGGUUGUAAACUUCUUUUAUAUGGGAAUAAAAUGUUCCACGUGUGGGAUUUUGUAUGUACCAUAUGAAUAAGGAUCGGCUAACUCCGUGCCAGCAGCCGCGGUAAUACGGAGGAUCCGAGCGUUAUCCGGAUUUAUUGGGUUUAAAGGGAGCGUAGGUGGAUUGUUAAGUCAGUUGUGAAAGUUUGCGGCUCAACCGUAAAAUUGCAGUUGAAACUGGCAGUCUUGAGUACAGUAGAGGUGGGCGGAAUGCGUGGUGUAGCGGUGAAAUGCUUAGAUAUCACGAAGAACUCCGAUUGCGAAGGCAGCUCACUGGACUGCAACUGACACUGAGGAGCGAAAGCGUGGGUAGCAAACAGGAUUAGAUACCCGAGUAGUC
rnacentral:rRNA from 1 species